UUACAUCCCGGGCUACACACGUGCUACAAUGGCAGGUACAGAGGGCUGCGAAGCCGCGAGGUGGAGACGAAUCCCAGAAAACCUGUCUCAGUCCGGAUUGAAGUCUGCAACUCGACUUCAUGAAGUUGGAAUCGCUAGUAAUCGCGGAUCAGCAUGCCGCGGUGAAUACGGUUCCCGGGCCUU
rnacentral:rRNA from 1 species